rnacentral:rRNA from 1 species
AUUGAACGCUGGCGGUAUGCUUAACACAUGCAAGUCGAACGAUGAGAAAGAGCUUGCUCUUUCGAUUAGUGGCGGACGGGUGCGUAACGCGUAGGAAUCUACCUAUUAGUGGGGGACAACUUAGGGAAACUUAAGCUAAUACCGCAUACGCCCUACGGGGGAAAGAAGGGGAUCGCAAGACCUUUUGCUAAUAGAUGAGCCUGCGUAGGAUUAGCUAGUUGGUGGGGUAAAAGCUCACCAAGGCGACGAUCCUUAACUGGUUUGAGAGAAUGAUCAGGCACACUGGAACUGAGAAAAAGUCCAGACUCAUACGGGAGGAAGCAGUGGGGAAUAUUGGACAAUGGGCGAAAGCCUGAACCAGCAAUACCGCGUGUGUAAAGAAGGCCUUAGGGUUGUAAAGCACUUUCAAUUGGAAGGAAAACCUCGAAGCUAAUACCUUCGAGUUUGACAUUACCUUUAGAAGAAGCACCGGCUAACUCCGUGCCAGCAGCCGCCGUAA